GCACCUUCGAUGUUAAUAUAGUAUUUACAGCAACAUUAGCUUGUACAAAAAGGGCAUUCCUCAUCACAAAAAACGAUCGAUACUUUGAACACAAUUUCUGGGGAGGGGGGUACGUUGUCCCUGUUCCCCCGGUUCCUAUGCCCCUGACGGUAAAACAAUGAAAUUUUUUUUAGUUUUAAAACUAUUUUAUUCAUUUUUUGCCUAUUACCACCAACUACUGGGCCUCCUACUGCCGGAACGGCACAACUUUAAGAGGGUGUUGAUGGGGGUAUAUCGUGAGUCGUGAUUCACUCAAUUUCGGUUACAGUCAGUCGUGAAAACACUAAAAAUUUAGAGGAAGAAAAUACUGUUUAACGUUUCAGAACACUUUUCAAAGAUUUACCGUUAAAAUACCAAAAUGUUACUUAUUGUCACCGUUAAAAUACCAAAAUUUUUACUGUUUACUGAUUUUCAGACCCCCUCCCCCAAUCUAGACCCUCCUUUAACACUCGCACAAAAAAACAAUUAGGCAAACUUUGGCAAACUCCCAAGGGCAACGACCAGUGGUGUAGAACUGAAAUGAUAACUGAGGGGAGCUAAACAUGAUAAACAUGAAAAGAUUCAGUAUUUAUUUUUGAUUCUAGUAGUUCUUCAAUUAGUGCUUUUUGAAGAAAGGACUUAACUUCAAAAGAAACAUUCCGAUAUACUGAAGCUAUUUCAUGCUGGAGCCAUGUACAUGACCUAAUAGUAUGAUCAUAGUAAUCAAGUACAGAUUACUAACAUC